UACGGGGGGGGGCAAGCGUUGUUCGGAUUUUCUGGGCGUAAAGGGCUCGUAGCGGGCCAACUAAGUCAUGCGUGAAAUCCCUCAGCUUAACUGGGGAACUGCGCCUGAUACUGGAAGGCUUGAAUCCGGGAGAGGGAUGCGGAAUUCCAGGUGUAGCGGUGAAAUGCGUAGAUAUCUGGAGGAACACCGGUGGCGAAGGCGGCAUCCUGGACCGGCAUUGACGCUGAGGCGCGAAAGCCAGGGGAGCAAACGGG
rnacentral:rRNA from 1 species